rnacentral:rRNA from 1 species
CCUACGGGAGACAGCAGUGAGGAAUAUUGGUCAAUGGCCGGGAGGCUGAACCAGCCAAGUCGCGUGAGGGAAGACGGCCCUACGGAUUGUAAACCUCUUUUGUCAGGGAGCAAGGUGCGGGUCGGGUCCCGCUGUGAGAGUACCUGGAGAAAAAGCAUCGGCUAACUCCGUUCCCGGAGCCGCGGUAAUACGGGGGAUGCGAGCGUUAACCGGAUUUAUUGGGGUUAAAGGGUGCGCAGGCGGAGGGACAAGUCAGCGGUAAAAUCGCGGGGCGCAACCCCGCUCCGCCGUUGAAACUGUGUACCUAGAGUGCGCGAAGGGUAGGCGGAAUGCGUGGUGUAGCGGUGAAAUGCAUAGAUAUCACGCAGAACUCCGAUCGCGAAGGCAGCAUACCGGCGCGCAACUGACGCUGAUGCACGAAAGCGUGGGUAUCGAACAGGAUUAGAUACCCGAGUAGUC